rnacentral:rRNA from 1 species
GACGAACGCUGGCGGCGUGCCUAACACAUGCAAGUCGAACGAAGCAAGAGUCUUCGGAUUCUUACUUAGUGGCGGACGGGUGAGUAACGCGUGAAUAACCUGCCCUUCAGUGUGGAAUAACGUCUGGAAACGGACGGUAAUACCGCAUAACAUCUUAGUGCCGCAUGACACAGAGAUCAAAGGAGCAAUUCGCUGAAGGAUGGAUUCGCGUCCGAUUAGCCAGUUGGCGGGGUAACGGCCCACCAAAGCGACGAUCGGUAGCCGGACUGAGAGGUCGAACGGCCACAUUGGGACUGAGACACGGCCCAGACUCCUACGGGAGGCAGCAGUGGGGGAUAUUGCACAAUGGAGGAAACUCUGAUGCAGCAACGCCGCGUGAGGGAAGAAGGUUUUCGGAUUGUAAACCUCUGUCUUCGGUGACGAUAAUGACGGUAGCCGAGGAGGAAGCUCCGGCUAACUACGUG